AAAAAAAGUUCGAACCUGCAGCUGGUGGCGUUGCUUCCCCUUUGCCGCCGUAGCGCCGGCCAUGCUCACGGUGUCUCUCCUAGACGCGCAACUCGCUCGGUGCUCCUCCGCGCGCCAUCUCCUCCAGAUUCACGGCCAGUUCAUCGCCUCCGGCCUCCUCGCCGAUGCCUUCGCCGCCAGCCGCCUCCUCCUCUUCACCUCCGCCACCCGCCUCCUCCCGCUCCCCAUCCACCAUUCGUUCCGCCUCCUCCGACUCGUCCGCUGUCCCAACGCCUUCUCCUGCAACACGCUCCUCAAGGCGGCCCUGCUCGCCGGGACGCCGCACGUCUGCCUACCACUCUACACCUCCCUGCCAACGUCCCCCGACUCCUACACCCACCCCAUCCUCGCCGCCGCCUGCGCCGCCAGGAGGGACGUGAAUGAAGGCAGGCAGGUGCACUCACACGCUAUCAAGCACGGGUUCGGUGAUGAUUUGUACCUCAGGAACGGCCUGAUGCAUAUGUACUCUGUUUGCGGCUGCCUCUGGGACGCACGCAGGGUGUUUGACGCAGGUCCCGUGUGGGACGCUGUUUCGUGGAACACCAUCCUGGCUGCGUACGUGCAUGCUGGGGAUGUCGAUCAGGCGGUUGGGGUGUUCGCACGGAUGCCAAAGCGGAAUGCCACAGCGGUGAGCUCCAUGGUGUCAUUGUUUGGGAGGAGGGGUAUGGUGGACGAGGCAAGAGGGGUGUUUGACGAGGCCGAUUGCAGGGAUAUUUUCACGUGGACUGCCAUGAUUUCUUGCUUUGAGCGGAACAGCAUGUUUGCAGAGGCGUUGCACAUGUUCUCCUGCAUGCGUCGAGAGAUGUGGCCUGUGGACGAGGCGCUGAUGGUCAGCGUGGUGUCCGCUUGUGCACAGUCGGAGGUGAUUCGAAAUGGGGAACUAUGCCAUGGACUGGUUAUCAGGGCUGGCCUUUGUUCGCUGCUAAAUAUUCAGAAUGUGCUGAUCCACAUGUACUCAUGUUGCCUGGAUGUUGUUGCAGCAUGGAGGUUGUUUGACAGCGGUGACUGCUUGGACCAGUUCUCCUGGAACUCAAUGAUAGCAGGCUAUCUAAAGAAUGGUCAUGUCGAAAAUGCAAUGACAUUGUUCAAUGCAAUGUCUGACAAGGACAAUGUUUCUUGGAGUACAAUGAUUUCUGGUUGUGUGCAGAAUAACCAAUCGUCAGAUGCACUCGCUGUCUUCGAUAACAUGCGAGCCCAGGGAGUCAGGCCGGAUGAGGUUACUGUUGUUAGUGUUAUAUCUGCAUGCACUAAUCUGUCUGCUCUGGAGAAAGGAAAGUCGGUGCAUGAUUAUGUAAGGCAAAACAAAUGUUACAUCAGUCUUGUACUUGGGACUAGCCUCAUUGACAUGUACAUGAAGUGUGGAUACUUGGAAGCUGCAAUGGAUGUUUUCAACAUAAUGGAAGAAAAAGGAGCACCUUGCUGGAAUGCUGUAAUUGUGGGGUUGGCGAUGAACGGCCUUGUGACAAAAUCCCUUGAGAUGUUCUCAGAGAUGGAAGCAUCCGGCACUGCCAUCCCGAAUGAGAUAACUUUCAUCGGAGUUUUGAGUGCUUGCAGACAUGCUGGCCUAGUUGAGGAGGGCCGCCACUUCUUCAAGUUGAUGCAGCACAAGUACCGAAUUGUGCCAAACAUCAGACACUAUGGAUGCAUGGUUGAUCUUCUUGGACGUGCUGGAUAUGUUAAGGAGGCUGAGGAUCUGAUUGAGAGCAUGCCCAUGUUACCUGAUGUUCCAGCAUGGGGUGCAUUGCUUAGUGCCUGCUGGAAGCAUGGUGAAAAUGAGGUUGGAGAAAGGGUGGGCAGGAAGCUUGUCAAUCUGGAUCCUCGCCAUGACGGAUUUCACACUAUGUUAUCUAACAUAUAUGCUAAAGAGGGGAUGUGGCAAUCAGUAAAUGACCUAAGGGACUCCAUGAAGCAACGACAUGUCUCAAAAGUUUCAGGAUAUAGUGUCGUUGAAAUGUCUCAUUCUUGAGAUUCUAGCAGUUGAUCGCACCUCAGAUGAAAAUCUUAGAUAGGUCCAAGUUGAAGCCUUACAAGAUUCAAAUAAAAAAUUCACAUGGCAUCAGCGACCAAAUUAUUUAUCUUUUAAACUUUUACCAGAGUCAGGCAGAACUUCCUUUCUUUCCUUAUUUCUUUCCAUGAUAUCCAUCCAUCUGGAAUACUGAACAGGGAACAACACACGCCAUGGUCAGGGUUCCCUUAUUUUUUAUUUUUUGUUAGUCGUGUACCAUGGUGCAAGCAAAUGAAUAUCUUUCUCAAAUGUCAAAUGCAAUGCUAAACUUACCAGGGUAAGUAUAAAAAGAAGAUAUAACCGGGAUCAUGAUGAUGGAAAAAGAAAGGAAGAGCAAGGGUAAAUUAACUAUGGGGUGGAAAGGUGAUACAGAAAAAAGGCUUGUAAUUCUUUUAUCGUCUGAACAACAUGUAUUGGAAAUGCUCAGAAAAAGAUUUGUGGGUAUUUUUUUCUUCAUAUAAAGGCCAUAUCUAGGCUAAUUCCUUUCCAAGCUACACAUAUGUUUAUUAGGAAAAUAUGUUUUCUUCACCAUGUUCAGAAUUGUUACGAAAAUGUGAUACCAUACUGAACAUAUCUUAUUUGUGUUAGAGGAAUACAAUUCCAUUUGGUACCAAGAAUAUUUGAUUAGGAAGGGAGGCAGAAUAAAAGUUAUUGGGUAUGCAGGUUCUAGUGGUUCUAGUUGAGGUUUACUAAUUUCACAUAGCUAUGGUUACUAAUUUCACAUAACUAUGGUUAAUUUAAUAAAGUAAUUUCUUAGAACCUUGUAGUUGUAAAGGGAAAUGAAUUAGAGUCUUAUUGACUGAUAAAACAAAUGUGAGAAGACAAUUCACAUGUAUUGACUUAAAAAUUUCUCAUAUGCUUGUUGCGAGAUCAUGUGAGUUGCGAGAUCCACCUAGACAGAGUCACAUUGGACCUACUAAAUUAUAAUUGUAAGACUUGAGGGGACAUCAAUAAAUGGACUAAGUGACCGAUCUUUUUACUGUUGGGGGUUUCCCUACAGUUUUCUGGUGAAAAAGUGGACUGACUGGUCUGCUUUUAAACCAACUGAAAAUAUUGCUGGAUACCCACUGUGAGUUCCUGGCACAUUACUAGAAAAUACGGAACAAUUCUGUUUUUUCAUAUGAGAAGAGAUAUUAUGAAGUAAGCAUCACAGUCGAGCAUGAUUUUUCUUUACUUUGAUCAAGUCCUAGGCUCCCAGGUAGUUAGU